ACCACAGUAGACAAGCAGAAGUUACCUUGCUCCUAGAAGAAAGAGAAAGGACACUCCAAGAUGAAAACUGUGGGGCCGAGACACGUCGAAGUGUAAAGAGCAGCUCUGUGCUGCUGAAGGACGAUUGCCGGGCAUAGCCUCACGCUUGGGAGCUGCCUAGUGACAAGCUGUGUGGAGGGCUGAGCGUGUACCCAGAGCUGGCCCUGUCUUUUAAACUGACUGCUUCCUGGAAGCUCUCUCAGCUGAGACAUUCUGGGAUCCCAAGAGAGUAUGCUGAUCUCUUCAUUAUCUCAGAAUCGAACUGAGAACUGGAACAAGGAUAACAGAGGUGAGGGGCCACAUUCCACUCUCCAUUUCCUGUGAAGCUGCAUUUGUUGACUGAGACAGCAGGCAAGCGCCUGGCCAGCAGUGAAUGACCAUGGUGGCAUAGCCUGGCUUCAAGGCAGUACAAUAAGGGGUCACAUCAUAGAGAUCACUAAACCCAUGAAAGAUGAAUUACGAAAA
ensembl:lncRNA